rnacentral:rRNA from 1 species
UAAUACGUAGGGUGCAAGCGUUAAUCGGAAUUACUGGGCGUAAAGCGUGCGCAGGCGGUUGUGCAAGACAGGUGUGAAAUCCCCGGGCUUAACCUGGGAACUGCACUUGUGACUGCACGGCUGGAGUACGGCAGAGGGGGAUGGAAUUCCGCGUGUAGCAGUGAAAUGCGUAGAUAUGCGGAGGAACACCGAUGGCGAAGGCAGUCCCCUGGGCCUGUACUGACGCUCAUGCACGAAAGCGUGGGGAGCAAACAGGAUUAGAUACCCUGGUAGUCCACGCCCUAAACGAUGUCAACUGGUUGUUGGGAGGGUUUCUUCUCAGUAACGUAGCUAACGCGUGAAGUUGACCGCCUGGGGAGUACGGCCGCAAGGUUG